UGUAAAAAAAAAAAAAAAAAAAAAAAAAGAGCAAUGGGAAAAAAAAGUGUCCAUUGCUUCCGGGAUAGGCUCCGGACCCCCCGCGACCCAGUAGAAUAAGGGGUUUGGAAAAUGGAUGGAUGGAGCAUACUACCCAUAACAAGAACAGCACCACAGCAUUCAGGAAGAAAUCUUAGAACUCCCAGAGACUUGUGUAGGCACCAGAAUCACUUAUUCCACAUACUCAAAGUACCCUCUACAGCAGUGUGUGUUCCUUGGUGUGCAGUGUAACACGUCUCCUCAGCCACGGUUUGGGGAUCGAAUUUAGAGACCGAGUUUCUGCUCAAUAUGUAACCGGUACGAGUACCUACAACAUAGCUGAAAAGGGGACUUUUAUUUUGAUACCCCGAGUGGACUUUUAUACUGACAUUGGGGCACUGUAUCCCACCAUAUUUAUACCCGUAUAGUCUCGCGAUUUGAACAGAAUUACUGUUUUGUCUCGUUGAAGGUUUAUUGGGAGGAGGGAGUGUGGCAUUUAAACUUUGGCGGUGUAGUAUUCCUCUGGAUAAUGUGGAACGCUCAUCGUGAAGUUCUGGUGCAUUGAUGGUGAGGUAUGAAAACGUGGGGGAAGUCGUGCAUCCAUAAUAAGAUCGUCCACAAAUACAAGUGGAACCGGCUGGAGGUUCGGACUACUGCAUUGAGGGAUGUACUCCACCAGUGAACGUCAACCGGGGCAGAACCCAAUGGCAUCGAGUUUUUGUCGUGAUUGUUAAUAAAACCAAUAAAUAUUCUUAAGAUCUAGCCCUAAUCCUAUGGGGCGCAGUUUGUAAACGUAGUAAACAUUUUUGUACUUGCCACUUUUUCAUCAUUUAGUGCAAUUUUCUGACAUCUGCCGCUAGGCUACUACCACCCUACCAAGAUUAAUUAUCUUUUGUAAAUAUAUGUGAGGUUAUUUGAUAUUUGCAACGCAACUCUGCAAAAGUUGAGACAGAUAUAUUUAUCAUUGUUUUACAUUAACUUUCCUUUUAAUUAGACAUUUUAAUUGUGUUGGAGUUGAAAAAAAACAAAUUUUUGCAAAUGGAAAUUUUGUCCAUCCUUGCCUGAUGUCGCCGUUGUCUGAUUCUCCAUACAUUUUCAACAGGAAAUAGAUCUGGACCGGCAGCAGGCCAGUCAAGGACAUGCACUCUGUACCCAUCCAGAAUGUGGUCUGGCCUUAUCCUGAUGACAAAUAGUUUUUAUUGUUUUUAACUUUUCUGGAAAUGGACUUUAUUGAAAUUUAAAAACAAACUGUUGUAACACUUUACUUGAGGGGACACAAAUAAUGGAGUAGUACAUCCAUCCAUCCAUCCAUUUUCCAAACCGCUUAUCCUACUGGGCCACGGGGGGUCUAGAGCUUAUCCUGGUAGCAAUGUGCAUGAGGCAGGGAACAAUCCAGGAUGGGGGGCCAGCCCAUCGCAGGGCACACUCUCACACCAUUCACUCACACAUGCACACCUACGGGCAAUUUAGCAACUCCAAUUAGCCUCAGCAUGUUUUUGGACUGUGGGGGGAAACCGGAGUACCCGGAGGAAACCCCACGACGACAUGGGGAGAACAUGCAAACUCCACACGCAUGUGACCCAGGUGGAGACUCGAACCCGGGUCCCAGAGGUGUGAGGCAACAGUGUUAACCACUGCACCACCAUGCCACCCCCUGGAGUAGUACAGUUUUACUUAAUCAAUUAAUUAACCAGUAACUAUGUAUUAUAGUUCCAAUCUGUCCAUCUAUGUUCUGUACCCCCUUGUCCUAUGCAAGGUCAUACGGAUCUGGAGCCAAUCCCAGACAUUGUAGGCACUAGACAGGCAAUUGCCCAGGACGGGAUACCAAGCUGUCGCAGGCAUUUUUGUACCUUACACAGGAAUGUCACAUUUUUGCAAUGUCACGACCUACUUGUUUGACCCUCUCGUGUGCCACACCCCCUCAUCCUCGUAUGAAAUCCCAACGACCAGCUGUUUCGUAUUAUUUACAUUUAAGUUCUGUGUAUUUCGGUCCACGUUCGAGUGUGUUUCCCUUGUCCUGUCAUUAAUGUUACUAGCUGUUGAUGUGUGUCUUGUGCUCAUAUCCUAUUCUUAUUAAACACCGGGUUUUUCCCCG